rnacentral:rRNA from 1 species
UUUCUGAAGGGUUUGAUCCUGGCUCAGAAUGAACGUUGGCGGCGUGGAUUAGGCAUGCAAGUCGAGCGAGAAUUUUAUUGUUGAAGCUUCGGCCGAUUCAAUAAAAGGAAAGCGGCAAACGGCGUAGUAAUGCGUAGGUACGUACCCUCAGGUCGGGAAUAGCCACGGGAAACUGUGGGUAAUGCCCGAUAAUCUCUGCGGAGCAAAGGUGUGAUUCCGCCUGAGGAGCGGCUUACGUGAUAUUAGCUUGUUGGUGGGGUAAUGGCCUACCAAGGCAACGAUGUCUAGGGGGUGUGAGAGCAUGGCCCCCACGACCGGAACUGAGACACUGUCCGGACACCUACGGGUGGCUGCAGUCGAGAAUCUUCCGCAAUGGGCGAAAGCCUGACGGAGCGACGCCGCGUGCGGGAUGAAGGCCCUUG